GGGCCCUCGGGGGCAGCAGUGGGGAAUAUUGCACAAUGGGGGAAACCCUGAUGCAGCGACGCCGCGUGAAGGAAGAAGUAUUUCGGUAUGUAAACUUCUAUCAGCAGGGAAGAAAAUGACGGUACCUGACUAAGAAGCCCCGGCUAACUACGUGCCAGCAGCCGCGGUAAUACGUAGGGGGCAAGCGUUAUCCGGAUUUACUGGGUGUAAAGGGAGCGUAGGCGGCGAUGCAAGUCAGAAGUGAAAGCCCGGGGCUCAACUCCGGGACUGCUGUUGAAACUGUAUGGCUAGAUUGCAGGAGAGGC
rnacentral:rRNA from 1 species